rnacentral:tRNA from 1 species
CGGGGCGUAGCGCAGCCUGGUAGCGCGACGGCUUUGGGUGCCGUAGGUCGUGAGUUCGAAUCGCCGCCCCGACCA